GGAGUUUGAUCCUGGCUCAGGAUGAACGCUAGCGGUGUGUUUAAGGCAUGUAAGUCAAGCGAACUCUAGACUUUGUCUCGAGUUAGCGGCGAACUGGUUAGUAACACGUGGGUAAUGAACCCCAAAGACGGGUAUAACUUAUCGAAAGAUAGGCUAAUCCCCGAUGGUCCCUAUUAUCUUAUGUUUAAUAGGGUAAAGCUUCGGCGCUUUGGGAUCAGCCCGCGGCCUAUCAGCUUGUUGGUGAGGUAAUGGCUCACCAAGGCUAUGACGGGUAGGUGGUCUGAGAGGACGAUCACCAACUAGGGCACUGAGAUACGGGCCCUACUCCUACGGGAGGCAGCAGCUAAGAAUCUUGCGCAAUGGACUAACGUCCGACGCAGCGACACCGCGUGACUGAAGAAGCCCUAUGGGGUGUAAAAGUCUUUUAAUUGGGAAGAAGCCUUUAUUGGUUGACGGUACCAGUUGAAUAAGGGGGGGCUAAUUACGUGCCAGCAGCAGCGGUAAAACGUAACCCCCAAGCGUUAUCCGGAGUUAUUGGGCGUAAAGCGUCCGUAGGCGGUUUAGUAAGUCUAAGUUUAAAUUCCUCGGGCUUAACCUGAGGGCGGGCUUAGAUACUGCUAAACUAGAGGGUGUUAGGGGCUGAUGGAACUCACGGUGUAGGGGUGGAAUCCGUUGAUAUCGUGGGGAACACCAAAAGCGAAGGCAUUCAGCUGGGGCAGCCCUGACGCUGAGGGACGAAAGCCAGGGGAGAGAAUGGGAUUAGAUACCCCAGUAUUCCUGGCUGUAAACGAUGAGCGCUAGCUAUUGCAAGUGUCGACCCUUGCAGUGGCGAAGCUAACGCGUUAAGCGCUCCGCCUGGGUAGUACAGCCGCAAGGCCGAAACUCAAAGGAAUAGACGGGGACCCACACAAGCGGUGGAUCACGUGGCUUAAUUCGAAGGCAAGCGGGGAACCUUACCAGGACUUGACAUUUAUCUGAAAGCCAGCCAAAAGUUGGCCUUCCCACAAGGACAGAUAAACAGGUGGUGCAUGGUCGUCGUCAGCAGGUGCCGUGAGGUGCUCCCUUAAAUGGGGAAACCUGCGAAACCCUCGUGUCAUGUUUUAUGUGUCAUGACAGACUGCCCGCGUGUAGCGGGAGGAAGGUGAGGAUGACGCUAGAUCAGCAUGUCCUUUAUGUCCUGGGCUGCACACGUGAUACAAUGGUCGGUACAAAGGGUUGCCAAACCGUAAGGCGGAGCUAAUCCCAAAAACCGAUCUCAGUCCGGAUUGAGGUCUGCAACUCGACCUCAUGAAGCUGGAAUCGCUAGUAACCGUAAAUCAGCCACGUUACGGUGAAUAUGUUCCUGGGUCUUGUACUCACCGCC
rnacentral:rRNA from 1 species